AGGGACAGACAACCAUUCGCACUCACAUUCACUCCUAUGGGCAAUUUAGACUUUUCAAUUAACCCAUCCCCACAAAGUGCAUGUCUUUGUCUGUGAGGCAACAGUGCUAACCACUGUGCCAUCGUGCUGCCUGCUUACAUACAAGUGCUUGUAAGAAUGGGUGAAUGAGCUGUGUUGUAUGUAGUGAUUUGAGUGCUCAAGUACAGUAAAAAAAAAAGUGCUAUUCAAGGACCAGUGCAUUUACCUUUACAUGGCAUCUGCCUUUUGAGAACUUAGUUAUCUCCCUCUCUAUCUUUUUCUCAUUCCAAAAUUAUUUGGAAAAGUAUUGAAAGAAAUAACUUAAUAACUGGUUAAUAAUGUUUUAUUAACUGGUCGGUUAAAAUAUUGUCAAAAGACUCAUUAUAAAGCAAUAAAGAUCUGAGUGAGUUACAAACAAAUAAAAGUGACAGCUUACAGAUGUGGCUUAACAGGACUAAACAUAAACCUUCAGGUAGAUAAGUAAAAUCUGUUUGCUUACUUUAAAGUACACAGCUUCCUUCUUUCUCUCUUUUCUUUUUCUUUCUGUCUUAUUUUAAAAAAUAAAGUCAAAUAUGUCAAAAUAGCUACCCAGCAAUCUGAAAAAACAUUUUCUUAUGUUCCUGGGUGAAAGGUCCAGGUACUUUAGUAAUAAGAAGUUACAGGCACUGAAACACCAGCCCCUCGAUUAAGGGGCAGCAUUGUUUCAGUUCAAAUGCAGAAAGCCAUACAUAGCAAAGCUGUUGAAACUACAGUCUUGUCAUCUCCAUUCACUCCAAUGGACCAUUUUUUACAGCAAUGGUGGAUCAUGGAGCCUCGCAAAUAGUUCCUGGAAGUUAGUAACAGCUGUGCCAGCACCGAAGUUUCAGAUGCACUUUUAGAAGGUAAGAAGUUUGAGCUCAGGUUUUUUAAAUGUUAUGAAAUCAGAAAGAAAAGCUUUCAGUUGUGAUUUUUUGCUGUGUUGACCAAGUGAAAUAUUAGCUAAAUAUAGCAUUGAGGAAUUAAGCUGUCUGGUCUGUUUAAAGUCAUUUAUCCUCUGCUAUGUACAAACUGGUAUGAUAACUGCACAACAAUCAGGGAAACUGAUAGCUAUUUUUCUGAUAUAUGGCUUUAAAUAAAAAAACAGUAUUUUUGAGAAGUUUUGUAUACAGUUGACUGUUAGCAUCUGUGUGACGUUACAGCUCAGCUGAUGACAGAAACAGGGAAGGCGGAGGACUCGGAAUGAGACUAAAACGACAUGCUCAGGCAUCUCAGGAUAAUUCAGCCUAAAAACUUUGCACUAAGACAGCACCCUGACCAUAAGACUCAUCUCCCUGAGUGUUUCAAGCUUAUGAAGCUAACACUAUAUUUGCCAGUAUUUUGGGCUUUGUUUGUAAGAAAAAAUAUUUAUUACUUGAAUAUGAUUUGCUGUAUUUGUUGUUGUUUUAAUCGAUGAUUAUAUUAAUCUUGUUUUAAAAUAAAGAAUGGUUUUUCUCCCCUUGGUUUCAGGUCACUCUUUUUUUAAUGUACUGUUAUCUCUGAGAGAGUACAGCUUCCCCAUGCACCACAGCACACAGCAGUACAUAUACAAGAAUAACAGUGGGAAAAGAACAUGCGCAGGUGAACAUUCAGUUUUUCUCAUAGUUAUUUGAGAUUUUUAGAAUGAAUUGAUUUUUGUAAACAACUGCAAGUUAAUAGACAACAUAAACAUAGAUGUGUUUGUGAGAAAACAAUUAUAAGACUAAAAUGGCUUUUAAUAGCAAGCAUGUGGGGAUACACUUGAUACACAGCAAUUUGUGUUUUAACACAUCCUGAAUCCUGUGAAAUGUAAAAUUUAACAGUAGAUGGACAGAGAAAUUCCUGCUUCUGGUACAAACAGUGGACGCUAUUAUGGUCCACUGUGUCCAUUUCCCACUUUGCCUUUCCAAAACAUAAAAUAUACACAUAUAUAGAAGUUGCAGUAAUCUGCAGUAACAACAGAUGGAGGUAGCCAACAGGAAAAUAAUCACAGACAUUAUCAACACAUUUACAUGCACACACAUAUUAGCUGCCUAGAUUAAUCGAUUCUGAUGGUUAAGGACCCUCAAAUGUACUUGCUGUGUUUUUUGCUCACUACUGACUUCGGGGCUUUAAAUACAUUAUCUCCCUCUGCUGGUAAUGCAAUUUCUGCAUGCAGGAAUGGAUUACCAUUUCAUGUUUUGGAGAAACAAAGCAUGAAAAGGAGACGGUGGAGCUGCGCGUCUAUGCCGGUUGAUGUUCAAGAGUAUACCAGA